AUACCAUUGCCUUCAAACAUGGCUGCAGUCAAAGGUGGAGCUGUAGAAACAGGGUGAUGAUGAAGCUGAAGCUAGUUCCGUCCCGGAUCACAUGGUGGUGAGAAGGAACUGGAGAGAUGGUUGGUCCCCCACCCUGCCCUCUAUCCCCCCUGUCAGAGGCACGAGGAGAGUCAGGCGAGCAUGCACAGACCAACAGACACUACUUUCAGAUUUUCCAUCCCCAGGCCAUGAUGUGCAUGUGGAAGAGGGAUCAUCUCUUGAAGAAGAAGGGACAUAUCAUGAUUUUUUGCCAUCAUCACUUGGCACCUGUUGCUUUCUCAAACUUCCAAGUAUGGGGAUCACACCACUCAGUUUUUCCUAUAUUAAAAAGCCUCUAAGCAUUUCA